rnacentral:rRNA from 1 species
GAUGAACGCUGGCGGCGUGCUUAACACAUGCAAGUCGGACGAAGCAUUUGCGACAGAUUUUUUCGGAAUGAAGUUGCUUAUGACUGAGUGGCGGACGGGUGAGUAACGCGUGGGUAACCUGCCUUGUACUGGGGGAUAGCAGCUGGAAACGGCUGGUAAUACCGCAUAAGCGCACAAUGUUGCAUGACAUGGUGUGAAAAACUCCGGUGGUAUAAGAUGGACCCGCGUCUGAUUAGCUAGUUGGUGAGAUAACAGCCCACCAAGGCGACGAUCAGUAGCCGACCUGAGAGGGUGACCGGCCACAUUGGGACUGAGACACGGCCCAGACUCCUACGGGAGGCAGCAGUGGGGAAUAUUGCACAAUGGAGGAAACUCUGAUGCAGCGACGCCGCGUGAGUGAAGAAGUAAUUCGUUAUGUAAAGCUCUAUCAGCAGGGAAGAUAGUGACGGUACCUGACUAAGAAGCUCCGGCUAAAUACGUG